rnacentral:rRNA from 1 species
GACGAACGCUGGCGGCGUGCCUAAUACAUGCAAGUCGAACGAGAGCGACCGGUGCUUGCACUGGUCAAUCUAGUGGCGAACGGGUGAGUAACACGUGGGUAACCUGCCCAUCAGAGGGGGAUAACAUUCGGAAACGGAUGCUAAAACCGCAUAGGUCUUCGAACCGCAUGGUUUGAAGAGGAAAAGAGGCGCAAGCUUCUGCUGAUGGAUGGACCCGCGGUGCAUUAGCUAGUUGGUGAGGUAACGGCUCACCAAGGCCGUGAUGCAUAGCCGACCUGAGAGGGUGAUCGGCCACAUUGGGACUGAGACACGGCCCAAACUCCUACGGGAGGCAGCAGUAGGGAAUCUUCCGCAAUGGACGCAAGUCUGACGGAGCAAUGCCGCGUGAGUGAAGAAGGUUUUCGGAUCGUAAAACUCUGUUGUUAGAGAAGAAUAAGUGCUAGAGUAACUGUUAGCGCCUUGACGGUAUCUAACCAGAAAGCCACGGCUAACUACGUG